rnacentral:rRNA from 1 species
GAUCCUGGCUCAGGAUGAACGCUAGCGACAGGCUUAACACAUGCAAGUCGAGGGGCAGCAUGAACUUAGCUUGCUAAGUUUGAUGGCGACCGGCGCACGGGUGAGUAAUGCGUAUGCAGCUUGCCUAUCAGAGGAGAAUAGCUCAUCGAAAGAUGAAUUAAUGCUCCAUGAAACAGGGGUCCCGCAUGGGAAUAUUUGGUUAAAAGAUUCAUCG